GAUGAACGCUGGCGGCGUGCCUAAUACAUGCAAGUCGAGCGAACAGACGAGGAGCUUGCUCCUCUGACGUUAGCGGCGGACGGGUGAGUAACACGUGGAUAACCUACCUAUAAGACUGGGAUAACUUCGGGAAACCGGAGCUAAUACCGGAUAAUAUAUUGAACCGCAUGGUUCAAUAGUGAAAGACGGUUUUGCUGUCACUUAUAGAUGGAUCCGCGCCGCAUUAGCUAGUUGGUAAGGUAACGGCUUACCAAGGCAACGAUGCGUAGCCGACCUGAGAGGGUGAUCGGCCACACUGGAACUGAGACACGGUCCAGACUCCUACGGGAGGCAGCAGUAGGGAAUCUUCCGCAAUGGGCGAAAGCUUGACGGAGCAACGCCGCGGGAGUGAUGAAGGUCUUCGGAUCGUAAAACUCUGUUAUUAGGGAAGAACAAAUGUGUAAGUAACGAUGCACGUCUGGACGGUACCUAAUCAGAAAGCCACGGCGAACUACGU
rnacentral:rRNA from 1 species